CCGGGGAUGGAGGGACAGCCUGCAGUGGGAGCUGAGGGAAGCCCUGGGGCAGAGACAGCCAGGCCUGGCACCAGCCCAUGCUCUGCGGAGGGGCCGGUGCUGGGAUGGCCCAGGCACAGCAAUGCCCCAGAGGCAGCGAGCCCAGCUGGGAGCCCGGCCCAGCCUGGCUGCUGUGGCCAGCACCUGCCUCGGGGCCAGGCCUGGGCUUGCAGGCACGUGGGGGACACUGUGCUCACACAGCCGCCUCCAUCCCGUGCCUCCUUCUGCUUCCCACAGGUGACCCCCAGGCAGCCACAGGCAGCAGCUCAGGUCACCUGGACGACCAUCACACCCAUCCCUGGGGACAGGCCCACUCUGUUGCCCAGAACCAUCCCGUCACGGAGCCCCACCAGGUCCUGCACACGCAGGGGCAACCAGGGGGGCGGGCGCUCCGUGCCCCGCAGCAGUGUCACAGGGCCACGGAGAUUGUCCGUGUCGGACUUGCCGCCUCUCCACGGCCCUCAGUUGACACUGGCCCCCCCACAGCAGCUCAGUGCUCAAAGCUCAAGGGCAUCCACUGACUGCGUUAAGCUGCCCCCUCUGCCAGCAGCAGCAGCAGCCUCUGGAUCCUCUCCCAGAGGCACAGCACGUGCUGUGGGCCCCAUGUCCUGGGGCCAGCGAAAGCAUGUGCCACCUCCUCCAUGGGGCACUCUGGCUGCAGGCAGAGCCCAGGGAACACCUUCCCUGGGGAGCAGAACCGGAGGGCUCUGGAAUGGGUCAGCAGCAAGGCAGGGCCACCGCCUGCCUCCCGUGACACCUGCACGCGGCGCGCCGCUCCGCACCAGGAUGCAGUCGGCUUGGAAGCCCGUGUGGCGCUCUGUCUGUGAAAACCCACAGCCCUGUGCUACUUCUGUAAAGGAGCUGGAGGAAAAGCGGGAGGAGGAAGAGCACCCAGAAACACAGGCUGCAGGAGAGCGGGACCGAGACCUGCAGAGCGCAUCUCUUGCCCCGUUGGAAGAGAACGAGGAAAAGCGAGAGGAGCUGGAGAAGGUGGAGGAAGACAGAAUGUACGCAGAGCUCUUUGGACAGAUCUUCUUCUCCAUGGGCAAUGAAGAAAGUGCCAUGACGUUCAGCUGCGAUCUCAGGGAUCCAUCAAGUGCCACGCCGGAAGAAGCAGCAGACCUCUCAGUGCCACUCAGUGCUUGCAGCAUGGCAGAAGAGGCCAGAGGAGAGGCACAAAACUACUUGGAGCUUGUGUCUCGUGAGCUGUUGGCAGACUUGGGGUCUGACUCUGAGGAUUCGUCGUCGCUGGAAACUCUUCUGAACGAGCUCCUGGAGAAGUGGGAGCAAGAAGAAGCGGCAGGAGAGCGGGCCAGAGAAGCAGAGAGCCCGUUGUCCAUCCCGCCGCGAGACGAAGAGUUAGAGCCAGCAGCUACUCCUCCAGACAGCGACCUCAGCGACCAGGGGCACAGCGAGCCUCUCCCCGAAGAGGCAAAGGGGUUUGCGGUUUGCGCCGCGCCUGCCGAUGCCGCGGACGAGGCCGACGCGGCAGGCACGGAGGCUGGCCGCGCCCAGGCCGCCCCUGCCCAGGAAAAGCCCUGCGGGGAUGAGCCGCCGGCAGGAGCUUGCCCGGCGCCUGCCCAGCCCCUGGCCCGCAGCGUUCCUGCCUGCCCCGCUGGCAGCGCAGCCGUCCCGCAGCCCCCGGCCCCACGGCGAUGGCGCUUCACGGCCAAGAGGGCCCGGCGGGCUCUGCGCCGCCUUUUCUCCUGCAGCUGCCUCAGGGGGCAGCCGGAGGAGUGAGCCCGGGGCCAGCACCAGGGCGUUCAGCAAAGAUGCCGGCUCGCCCUGAGGAUGCCCAGCUCCCAGGGGCAGCGGCAGGUCCCUGAGGUAACGGCACCAGGGUGAUCCAAAGACGGGAUGCAUGGAUGGAUGGGUGGAUGGUGGCCAAGGCAACCACUUGCCAAGGAUAGGAAAAUGCCUCCCUGGAUACCAGCAACAACAUAGACUGGUGAAAGGUGUUAACCCCGGCUGAAUGACCUGGUGUCCUCAACUCCAUAAGAAGCACCAGGGCCCCAGUGCAGAAGCUCCCACUGGGGAAGGAGCAACGCGACGCCGCUUGCGACCAGCGUCUCGAACUUUCCUCUGUCUGACAUCUUCCCCUUCCCACUCCCACUCUUCCCCACUCAAUCCCACUCUUGUUCUUCCCCACCUCACCCCAACCCAGCCCAACCCUUGCUCUUCCCAUUCUUUCCUUCUCAUUAUCCUCUUUCCCAUCCCUUUCUCUCUACCCCACAUUUACUGUUCAAUAAAUCCCCCAUUGUUCACUUUGAUA